rnacentral:rRNA from 1 species
GUCUACGGGCCAUGCCACCCUGAACAAACCCCAUCCUGUCUGAUCUCGUAAGUUAAGCAGGGGUGGGGCCUGGUUAGUACUUAGAUGGGAAACCACCUAGGAAGAGCAGGUGCUGUAGGUG